rnacentral:misc_RNA from 1 species
UCCGGUUUGGCACCGGCAUAUGUCAAACCCAGGUAAGGUUCUUCGCGUUGCAUCGAAUUAAUCCGCAUGCUCCGCCGCUUGUGCGGGCCCCCGUCAAUUCCUUUGAGUUUUAGCCUUGCGGCCGUACUCCCCAGGCGGGGCGCUUAAUGCGUUAGCUGCGGCACGGAACCCAUGGAAUAGGCCCCACACCUAGCGCCCAACGUUUACGGUGUGGACUAC